GUAUUAAGGCGAUACCGCGAAUGGCUCAAUAUAUCAGUUUUGGUUCCUUAGAUCUUACUCAGUUACUUGGAUAACUGUGGUAAUUCUAGAGCUAAUACAUGCAAUCAGAACUCUGACCAGUGAUGGGAUGAGUGCUUUUAUUAGAUCAAAACCAAUCGACGGAGGGCCUCGCGUCCGAAGUCGUUAAUUUUGAUGAAUCUGGAUAACUUUUGCCGAUCGCAUGGUCAAGUACCGGCGACGCAUCUUUCAAAUGUCUGCCUUAUCAACUUUCGAUGGUAGUUUCUGCGACUACCAUGGUUGUCACGGGUAACGGGGAAUCAGGGUUCGAUUCCGGAGAGGGAGCCUGAGAAACGGCUACCACAUCCAAGGAAGGCAGCAGGCGCGCAAAUUACCCACUCCCGGCACGGGGAGGUAGUGACGAAAAAUAACGAUCGGGACUCUUACGAGGCCUCGUAAUCGGAAUGAGUACACUUUAAAUAUUUUAACGAGGAACAAUUGGAGGGCAAGUCU
rnacentral:rRNA from 2 species